rnacentral:rRNA from 1 species
CACGUAGGGGACGAGCGUUGUCCGGAUUCACUGGGCGUAAAAGCGCGCGUAGGCGGCUCGGAAAGUCGGGCGUGAAAUGCCGGGGCUCAACCCCCGGGACUGCGUCCGAUACUUCCGAGCUGGAGGUAGGUAGGGGGAGAUCGGAAUUCCUGGUGUAGCGGUGAAAUGCGCAGAUAUCAGGAGGAACACCGGUGGCGAAGGCGGAUCUCUGGGCCUUACCUGACGCUGAGGCGCGAAAGCUAGGGGAGCGAACAGG